CCCUGCCAUUUGUACACACCGCCCGUCGCUACUACCGAUUGAAUGGCUCGGUGAGGCCUUCGGACUGGCUCAGGGGAGUUGGCAACGACUCCCCAGAGCCGGAAAGUUGGUCAAACCCGGUCAUUUAGAGGAAGUAAAAGUCGUAACAAGGUUUC
rnacentral:rRNA from 1 species